UAGAAAUGUGGUUUUAAAAUGAUGAAAUGUCAGUUAUUUUAUGAAGCAACCUUGGACAGAUGUGCUACAAAGUUUAAGGCGUAUUAAAAGGUUGGUAACGCGCAGAAAUAUUUGAACAUCAAAUGACAAGUGACAUUGUAAUCAUUGCAUGCUCCAGUUAAUUGAAUUAUGUGAAUCCAAUCCUAAUUUGUGGGAUUGCUCGUCCAAAAAGCUAUGGAUGAAAUUUCCAAUAAGUUAGGAGUUCCGACUCAAGAAGUGAAGAAACGAAAAACACACUAAAAGCGACCCGACAACAGGAGAAAUUUUAAACUUUAUGGAUUCUUUAUGGACCGACAUGAAAUGAAACGAUAAUGGAUUUAUUGUUUUAGGCAAAGGAGCAACCAGAAUUUUGAAAUUUUAGCAAGAACCAGAUACUCAAAAAAUGAGUAAAAUUCCAGAAAGAUGAGUAGAAUUAAGAUAAGCUAACUGAGAAGACUAGAUACUGGUAGAUACUGGUGGGCUAUUAUUAGAAUAUGCAGAAGGUUAUUGUUGGCAGAAGAUAAAAUUAGAUAUUACUCAUAGAAAACUAAUUUCUGCUUACCACAAAACUACUUACUGUUUGUAAAAGUCUAGAUACUGUUGGCAAAAGACUAGAAACUAUUGGUACAUGACUAGAUACUGCUUGCUAUUAACUACAGAAGGCUACAUAUUGCUGGCAGAAGACUAGAUACAACAGCUAAUUAGGAAUUAGAUGUUAUCUGAUGAAAACUACUUACACAAGACUAAAUUGAUAUCAAUCUGAUUUUGAUGUUCAAAAACGACACAGUACAACCUUAUCAAAUUAAUAGAGUGUUUGAAGUUCUGAAACAGCAUAUUGAACACCACGUUCUGGCUUUGUGGUUGGGGGCUCGCUUUACAGGGGCAAUAUUAUAGGCAAAAUUUACACAAACAACCCCAAAACCAUCGUUGUGUUCAAAACUAUGCGCCAUUUACGAGAUUAUCGAAACUUCAAUAAUUUUUGUAAAAUUUUGAUGCAUUAUGGACCAAUUUUUGCAAAGCAGAAUUAACGGCAUUACGUACUUGGUUAAUGUAAAUGAUUUUUGGUCACUCAUCUCCUUAGACCUAAAGUAGCUGUAAAGAAUAUGAAUGUCAAGUCUGUUCAAGUAAUUUGGAAUACUUUUUCGACCAAAAAUCAAACUUAAUAACUUCUUUGAACAUUUUAUCCUAUCGUGGUUAUUAUGACCACAUAGAGUUGAAGCUUUGAUUGGACUUGAUACUUAAUUGAAUUCAAAAAGUUGCCCAACUGAACAUGGGAAGUUCUGAUCAUGUUAGUUUGGCACUUAAUUACUUAGAGCCAAAAUGUGCCCGAAAAAGAUGUCCGAAAAUUAUCUGAGGAUUGAUCAGACAAGCUACACAGAUUGAUAGAAAACUAAAUAUUUCUUGCAGAAAACUACUUACUGCUUGUGAAAGACUACUUACUACUACCAGAAGACUGACUGUCUUAUACGUCAACUACAACAUGCAGAACUCGUUUUCUUCAACACUCUCUCUUCAUUCGUUCCAAACAUUACAUUAAUAUAAUUAAUUAAUAGUCGCA
rnacentral:lncRNA from 1 species